rnacentral:rRNA from 1 species
AGUGAACGCUGGCGGUAGGCCUAACACAUGCAAGUCGAACGGCAGCACAGUAAGAGCUUGCUCUUACGGGUGGCGAGUGGCGGACGGGUGAGGAGUACAUCGGAAUCUACUUUUUCGUGGGGGAUAACGUAGGGAAACUUACGCUAAUACCGCAUACGACCUACGGGUGAAAGCAGGGGAUCUUCGGACCUUGCGCGAUUGAAUGAGCCGAUGUCGGAUUAGCUAGUUGGCGGGGUAAAGGCCCACCAAGGCGACGAUCCGUAGCUGGUCUGAGAGGAUGAUCAGCCACACUGGAACUGAGACACGGUCCAGACUCCUACGGGAGGCAGCAGUGGGGAAUAUUGGACAAUGGGCGCAAGCCUGAUCCAGCCAUACCGCGUGGGUGAAGAAGGCCUUCGGGUUGUAAAGCCCUGUUGUUGGGAAAGAAAAGCAGCAGGUUAAUACCCCGCUGUUCUGACGGUACCCAAAGAAUAAGCACCGGCUAACUUCGUG